rfam:Habropoda laboriosa contig14010, whole genome shotgun sequence.
AAAACGGUCCUUUUCAGGACCAACAAAAUCUAUAAACGUUUGGAA